rnacentral:rRNA from 1 species
AACGAACGCUGGCGGCAGGCUUAACACAUGCAAGUCGAACGCCCCGCAAGGGGAGUGGCAGACGGGUGAGUAACGCGUGGGAACAUACCCUUAUCUUCGGAACAACUCCGGGAAACUGGAGCUAAUACCGAAUGUGCCCUUCGGGGGAAAGAUUUAUCGGAUAAGGAUUGGCCCGCGUUGGAUUAGCUAGUUGGUGGGGUAAAGGCCUACCAAGGCGACGAUCCAUAGCUGGUCUGAGAGGAUGAUCAGCCACAUUGGGACUGAGACACGGCUCAAACUCCUACGGGAGGCAGCAGUGGGGAAUAUUGGACAAUGGGCGCAAGCCUGAUCCAGCCAUGCCGCGUGAGUGAUGAAGGCCUUAGGGUUGUAAAGCUCUUUCACCGGAGAAGAUAAUGACGGUAUCCGGAGAAGAAGCCCCGGCUAACUUCGUGCCAGCCGCCGCUGUAA